UUCUCAGAUAUUUUAACUAUCACCUCUGUGCCAUUCAAUCUUAUUCACUUGAAUUUUCGAGAUUGGUAAGUAUGAAGUGUAAAUAUACUAAAAACGUUCUACUUCUGUGCAAGGUUUUUGUAUUUCAGUUAACCUCAGAGGACAUGAAAGUACUAGAUGACCUGAACAGAAACUUUCAAUAUCUUCCUGCUCACAUGGAGGCCUUUGUGAUGGCUUCUACCAGGAGCUCCCUGAGUGGCGCUGGAGGGGUCGCAGUUGCUGCUGCUUGGACGCAUCACCUCUGCCCCACCGUGCUGCCCAGACACCAUGCUCAACUCGAGCCAAGUCCACCCAUCCGGAAGAGUGAAUCUACAUGGUCCAAAUAAUUUGAGUGAAGACUUCCAGGAAGAUGGUGGAACAGUGAGCAGCAGAGAAGCAACCUCUCUGAAAUUUAGAAUCCAGAUGCUGGAAUAUGGCAACAUGAGGAAGAAAAGGAAGAGAGAAGUGGGUCCCCAGGACCCAGCAAGGAUCUGAAGCAAUAAUUAGAGCGCAUGGGGAGAGGAAAGACAGGGGCCACCAUACAGAAGAAGGGGUAGCAAGCCACACUUUCUCCAUGAGCUCCAGCGAACCUGCAGAGGCACAAUGACUACCAGUGACCCCAGAGGGCUCCAUGGAGAAAUCCACCAAUGGAACAGGGUACGUGCAGCAGGCUACAGUGGCUAGUAAGUUGUUAGGGCUCAGACACCCCCAGGGGAAGGCGAUUGGUCAGUUGCCAUUUUGGAAAGGGGCCCACUAAAGUCAGAACUCGCAGCAGCUGUGGGCUGACUCCAACUAGUGGACCCAAGUGCCAGGAUGAGGCACAACUGAGUUCAACCCAGCAGAAGGCACUCAGAGACUGAAAACAG
rnacentral:lncRNA from 1 species